AGCUCUCGAGGUGAUCACAUGGGACGAGCCAGAACAAGGGAGGGCAGAGCAAGGAAGGUUCCGCGGCUGCCUUUUUCCAUUGGCUCCGCACAGGCACGUGGCGCUCCUCUGCCCACCGCUGGCUCACAGCUGGCUAGCCCCGCUCGGCUGGCGGGGAAAGAGCAGUAAGAGCCGCUCCGGUUAAAGUGCCUUAAAGGAGCGUGGAAGAGGAAGAGGAGGAGGAGGAGGAGAAGGAGGAAGAAGGCGGCAAAGAGUUUUUGCCCCCCCCCUUGGGCUCCUGGGUCUGAUUGAUUAAUUACUGUUUUGUUUUGGCGGCCGAACCCUUCGCGGGCAGUUCGUCGUUUCGCUUGGAGCCAUAGAAGGCAAAAGUCCGGAGCUGCGGAGCGGGGCGGCGCGAAGGAACAUCUUCCAUCUGUGUCAGAUUUAUAAUGAGUGCCAAAUCUGCUAUCAAUAAAGAGAUUUUUGCACCACAUGAUGAAAGGAUGCUGGGUGCAGUCCAAGUAAAAAGGAGAACGAAGAAAAAGAUUCCUUUCCUGGCAACUGGGGGUCAGGGUGAAUACUUAACCUACAUUUGCUUGUCAGUGACAAACAAGAGACCUGCACAAGCAUAUAUUACAAAAGUUAAACAAUUUGAAGGUUCUACAUCUUUUGUACGAAGGUCACAAUGGAUGCUUGAACAGCUUCGUCAGGUUAAUGGUUUAGAUCCUCAUCGAGAUUCCCCAGAAUUUGAUUUAUUGUUUGAAAAUGCUUUUGACCAAUGGGUGGCGAGUACAGCCUCUGAAAAAUGUACAUUCUUUCAAAUUCUCCAUCAUACUUGUCAACGGUAUCUUACAGACAAAAAGCCAGAAUUUAUUAAUUGCCAGUCUAAAGCUAUUGGAGGAAUAUUCUGUGAUUUCCUAUUGAGAAUAAAACUACAAGCAAGAUGUCAAGAUGGUCACAUAAAAAUAGAAACAGCAUAUUACAUUCGGCAGCAGACAGCGUGACAAGUGCCGUACAGAAAGCAAGCCAGGCUCUGAAUGAGCGCGGUGAAAGAUUAAGUCGAACUGAAGAAAAGACAGAGGACAUGAAAAACAGUGCUCAGCAGUUUGCAGAAACUGCACACAAGCUUGCCAUGAAACACAAGUGUUGAAAACGACUGUGUGGAGAUCUUUCUGAAAGGAACUGCAAAAAUAGGAUUGCCCAUUUUUAGUGAAAAUGCAAGUCUGUGUCUCUUUUUUCCAACAAUUUGGUAAUCAGUUCCAAUUAUCAUGUAGGAAAUUAGUAUUCCUACUUUUUCUAUUGCUAGGCCAUUCAGUGUCUGUCUUUUUUUAAUAUUUAAAAUGAGAUGGUGUUAAUAUGUAAAUUGGACCAAAGGAUAUACUAAACUGCACUGAACUGCAAGAAUCUAUUGUUCCCAAUAUUGUGUAACAAUACAGUAAUGUAGCUACAAGAAAGGUGAUCAAGUGACAGUGAAAUCCAGUAAUUGUUAUAAAGUUGUUUCUUAGAGCAAAUUUUGAAGUAAACGUAUUCAUAACUUAUAUUAUGAAGUGUUCAUAACUUCCAUCACAGGGCAACAAAAAUAGGUUGCUAUGAAAAACAGUUCUACCAUUUUUAGCCAACUUAUUUUGCACGUGUCAUCACUAGCGUGGUGAAUUUAAAUUUGAAUUGUCCAUCAUGUUGUCAACACUAUUUUUUCAAAAAAAUCUUUUUUCUUAUGGUCUGAGUUUACUUAAAAGUUACCAAAAAACACAUUAGAAAUGUUAAGGAAAGGCUGAUUAAAUCGAUAAAUACGUCAAUAUUUUAUCUGGAAUUUAACUCUUACCUUUGUAAAUGGAAAAAAAUGUCCUUCUAAAUAAACAUUAUAUUGAAACUGUUUCAAGAAAUAAUACAUGCACAAGCACUAUUGUAAGUUUUUGGAAUUCUUCUAUUGAUAGGCAUGCUUCAAUUUUAUUACAUAAAAUAAGACUUGCUAGAGUUUUCCUUAAUAGUGUAAUCUGAACCUGUGAACACCAAAAUUCAGUCUAUUUGCAGUCACUGGAUUAUAAUCAUACAUUCAUUAUAAUUAACAUUAUUUACAAUAAAAUAUAUACUUCCACUUUUCAUUUUAUAAAACACAAAGUUUUCUUGUUUUGUCAAAAAAAAAUCCCUUAAAACAGAUUUUUACAUGCAUUGAAGCUUUCUGGAUUAUUCCUGGUUUUUAUCUUUCCAAUGCUAGUCUGGAGAACUGAUGUUGAACAUUCAGUCUAGAUCAGGGGUGUCCAAACCUGGCAACUUUAAGACUUGUGGACUUCAUCUCCACAAGUCUUAAAGUUGCCAAGUUUGGACACUCCUGGUCUAGAUGGUUAUGUCAGAUUUGUCAGCACACAGUAAUUGGAGUGGUAAUGUAGAACCAUUAACUUCCAUUUUUUUUGGAGGGGGGAGAGAGAUAACCUGAUUAAGAAGCUUUUUCUCCUGUUAGCACUGAAUUUAUGUCAGACCUAAGAAUAUGAAUGCACAAACAAUGCUUAAACAGCCCCAUAAGGAAUCUAUAAAAUUCUGGAUAGAAUCAUGGGCGUGCAUAGUUGAUACAUUCCCAAAAAACUUUUAAAAGCUUGAAAUUUUCAGUGUUUGAAAUUAAAAUGUAUAGGUCAAAAAAAAACCCACCUUUAAACCUACAGGAUCUAAUAUUUUUUUCGUGGAUGAUAAUUAGAAUAGCAAUAUAAGGCAGUCUGGGGGAUACUAUUCAGAGUGGUAAUUCUUAUGGGAAGGCACUUUUAUAUUCUCUCAUGUUUGUAUAAUUAUGAACCAAGUGGGGAAAAAACAGUUUUAGUAUAGGUAAAGAAUUAAAUCAUUAUGGAGAGAAGGCAUCCAGUUAACUGCAUAUUGUAUGCCAUCAUAGUGUAAACAUUUUAUAGGCUCUAUUUAUCUUUGUCGGUAAUUUACUGACUGAUAACAGUCCAGAUUUGACAGCUGCAUGGACUUCCAUCAAUAUGGUCUCUAUAGCAUAUUGUGGGCUACAUUCGAUUAUAAGUUUACAUAGAAGUUGUUUUUAUUUCCUUUGUUAAAUCAUAUUUAAUGUAUUGUUAUUUAUUUUGCACAUUUUUUUUAAAAAAAAUCAUCUCGGUGAUGAAACUGGCUUUUUGUCAAUGCAGGGAUUUUUUGUUUUUUCACAUGCCAAAAAAUAAAACUCUCAAGUCAUUUCAUCAACUUAAUACAUUCAGAAACAACCUAAUUUCUGUUUCUACUAUGAAGUAAAUUUAAGUUACGUGAUGUUUUCUUAGGAUAAUUAGAAACAAGUGUGCUUAUACUGAAAAUAAAUGUGAUUGUAUUAAAAUAUGUCCUCCUGGAAAAUUGAUGUAGUAGUCAAUUAUAGUGUUAGAUAUUUGUGUACAUAAAUUAUACAGUAAUUCAGGUUAAUAUUUCAUAUUAAAAUGUAUCUGUAAAAAAUAGCAAGAUCAAUAGUUUCAUUAUCACUUUUUUAAAGUUCUGCAAAGAAUAAAAAAUCAGAAAUUAUUAGACCUAAGAUAGUCAUACCUGUAAGAUCCGCCUCAUUCUGUGGCUAGCAACAUGUUGUAUAUUAAUGUGAAAAUAUUCAACAAAACUGGCUCUCUAAAUGAGUGAACCUAAAAUACAUUUAAUUUUAAAAUGAAGGUACUUUGCUCUAUAUUUCACAAACAUUGUUUUUGUCAUUUAAAGUUUUAGCCAUUAAUUAAAAUAUACUUUUGUAUCAAUGAUAGACAACUUAAGGCGGUAUAUAAUUCCCAUACCUAUUUUUGCAGCCAUGUAGAAGGACCCCCUCCUUUUGAAAUUCACUUUUGAUAAUCUACCAAGUUAAGUUUUAAAAUAGAUGUGUUAAUGUUUUGGGAGGUUCUUGUACUACUACUGCAUUACUCCCUCCCAGUACCACCAUCCUCCCCAUUUGAAAAAGGGCUGAACAUUUCUUCUCGCAGACUCUGCUGUUGUCCCCACACAACUAUCACAUGCCCUAUGGCCCUCCGAUGCCAGGAAACAGAUACAGCUCUUAGUGAAAGUGGAGAAAAAUAAUCCUCAUCUAUAUUAUUUGAAGAGGUAGGAUGGGUGUACAUUAUGCACAUGCAUUCUUUUUUUUUCUUUUUUUGGAGGGGGGGGCUUACAUUAUUUUGGGAACAGGCAGCUUUAAUGGGUUACCGGUAUAUAUGUAAGCAUAUCUUGAAUGCAUACAUUAGCUAUCAUUACUGCUAGGUCUCAUUGCCAUAAUUUACCAUAAGAUGGCCAUUGCAACAAUUGACCUUACUGGUUUCAAGUAGCUUCAAACUCAUCAUAAUGCACAAAACAACAUGAAGUGUGUGGCUGAUUCAGCUUUUUCUUUGCCUUAGAUCCAGUAGGGCCAAGAUUUCUUGGUUACUAAACAAAUAGUGUGAUUCUGUGUCUACAUUUCUUAUUUAAAGUGGACAUGGACCAUUUACCUGGACCACUAAAUGAUCUCUAUGGACCAUGUGCAAAAGUGAUCCCCUUCUGUUUUUCAUGACUUGCACUCUGUGCAUAGGCUAAAAUGUCACCAUGAUUUUAUUUUACUUGCAUAGUAUAUAAAAGGCAAGUUAUACAAGGAGGGCCUGCACACACAUGUUAAAUGCAAACUGAGGCAUAGCUGUAACUCGGCAAACAUAAUACAUGUGCAAAUAGCCUGUGUGUAUUUAUGUUGUGCACGUAUAUAUCCUUGCAUACCAUAGCUUUUCUAAGUUUCA